rnacentral:rRNA from 1 species
ACUGAGCGAAAGUAUUAAGUGAUCCACCUGGGGAGUACGGUCGCCAGAUUGAAACUCAAAGGAAUUGACGGGGGCCCGCACAAGCGGAGGAACAUGUGGUUUAAUUCCAUGAUACGCGAGGAACCUUACCUGGGCUUAAAUGUGAUAUGAUUUAGUGGGAAACCAUUAAUCUCCUACGGAGCGUAUUACAAGGUGCUGCAUGGUUGUCGUCCGCUCGUGCCGUGAGGUGUCGGGUUAAGUCCCAUAACGAGCGCAACCCUUAUCAUUAGUUGCCAUCGGGUAAAGCCGGGGACUCUAAUGAAACUGCCGGUGUAAACCGCGAGGAAGGUGGGGAUGACGUCAAAUCAGCACGGCCCUUAUGUCCAGGGCUACACACGUGUUACAAUGGUCGGUACAGAGGGCAGCUACCACGCAAGUGGAUGCGAAUCUCGAAAGCCGGUCACAGUUCGGAUUGGAGUCUGCAACUCGACUCCAUGAAGCUGGAUUCGCUAGUAAUCGCGCAUCAGCCAUGGCGCGGUGAAUACGUUCCCGGGCCUUGUACACACCGCCCGUCAAGCCAUGGAAGCUGGGGGUACCUGAAGUCUGUAACCGAAAGGAGCGGCCUAAGGUAAAACCAGUAACUGGGGCUAAGUCGUAACAAGGUAGCCG